CCUACGGGUGGCAGCAGUGAGGAAUAUUGGUCAAUGGACGAGAGUCUGAACCAGCCAAGUAGCGUGAAGGAUGACUGCCCUAUGGGUUGUAAACUUCUUUUAUAAAGGAAUAAAACGAGGCACGUGUGCCUUUUUGCAUGUACUUUAUGAAUAAGGAUCGGCUAACUCCGUGCCAGCAGCCGCGUUAAUACGGAGGAUCCGAGCGUUAUCCGGAUUUAUUGGGUUUAAAGGGAGCGUAGAUGGGUUGUUAAGUUAGUUGUGAAAGUUUGCGGCUCAACCGUAAAAUUGCAAUUGAUACUGGCAGUCGUGAGUACAGUUGAGGUAGGCGGAAUUCGUGGUGGAGCGGUGAAAUGCUUAGAUAUCACGAAGAACCCCGAUUGCGAAGGCAGCUUACUAAACUGUGACUGACAUUGAUGCUCGAAAGUGUGGGUAUCAAACAGGAUUAGAUACCCUUGUAGUC
rnacentral:rRNA from 1 species